GACGAACGCUGGCGGCGUGCUUAACACAUGCAAGUCGAACGGAAAGGCCCUGCUUUUGUGGGGUGCUCGAGUGGCGAACGGGUGAGUAACACGUGAGUAACCUGCCCUUGACUUUGGGAUAACUUCAGGAAACUGGGGCUAAUACCGGAUAGGAGCUCCUGCUGCAUGGUGGGGGUUGGAAAGUUUCGGCGGUUGGGGAUGGACUCGCGGCUUAUCAGCUUGUUGGUGGGGUAGUGGCUUACCAAGGCUUUGACGGGUAGCCGGCCUGAGGGGGUGACCGGCCACAUUGGGACUGAGAUACGGCCCAGACUCCUACGGGAGGCAGCAGUGGGGAAUAUUGCACAAUGGGCGGAAGCCUGAUGCAGCACCGCCGCGUGCGGGAUGACGGCCUUCGGGUUGUAAACCGCUUUCGCCUGUGACGAAGCGUGAGUGACGGUAAUGGGUAAAGAAGCACCGGCUAACUACGUG
rnacentral:rRNA from 1 species